UCAGCCAAUCAGGUCAUCAUCCAAACAAAGCCUCUGAUUGGACGGCAGAUCUCCACCUCCACACAAUAAGUCAAACUCUGCGACAGCAGAAUCAACAGAACUCAACAUGCUGAACAAAAUGGGCCCAAAGAUCUUCGACAUCUUCAUCGUGACGACUCUGCUGCUCAUCUCAUAUGAGGUUGAAGGCGAUCGGGGGUGAUCGGUGGAUACUGCAAACCUCCAGGAACAUGCCGCCCAUCUGGCUGUGAUGUUACCGUGAUGGAGACUGAACGAUCUGGUCCAGAAGGUUAAAUGAAGGUUAUAUACAGCAAAGGUGGAUUGUACGGUGAUCAGAGAGAGAUGGAAACACAAACAGAUCUUUGGAAACAUGUCCAUGGUUACAUGUUUUCUAGAGUUCAUCUUUCCACCUUUUGUUUGAUUUGUAUAUAUUGUGACAUAUCAGAUACUGAAUGAGAGAACAGAAGUUCAGACGUUUAGUGUUUCUGACUUUCAGCUCUUCUUUUGUUUUUAAUGCAGCAAUAAAUCAGAGACAGAC